rnacentral:rRNA from 1 species
CCUACGGGAGGCAGCAGUCGGGAAUAUUGCACAAUGGAGGAAACUCUGACGCAGUGACGCCGCGUGCAGGAAGAAGGUUUUCGGAUUGUAAACUGCUAUAGACAGGGAAGAAAAAAGACAGUACCUGUAGAAUAAGCUCCGGCUAACUACGUGCCAGCAGCCGCGUUAAUACGUAGGGAGAAAGCGUUAUCCGGAUUUAUUGGGUGUAAAGGGUGCGUAGACGGAGAAGCAAGUUAGUUGUGAAAUCCCUGGGCGUAACUGAGGAACUGCCACUAAAACUACAUGCCUUGAGUACAGGAGAGGAAAGUGGAAUUCCUAGUGUAGCGGUGAAAUGCGUAGAUAUCGAGAGGAACACUCGUGGCGAAGGCGGGUUCCUGGACAUUAACUGACGCUGAGGCACGAAGGCCAGGGGAGCGAAAGGGAUUAGAUACCCCAGUAGUC